UACGGCGGGUGCAAGCGUUAUCCGGAUUCACUGGGUUUAAAGGGUGCGUAGGUGGGCAAGUAAGUCAGUGGUGAAAUCUCCGGGCUUAACCCGGAAACUGCCAUUGAUACUAUUUGUCUUGAAUACUGUGGAGGUCAGCGGAAUAUGUCAUGUAGCGGUGAAAUGCUUAGAUAUGACAUAGAACACCAAUUGCGAAGGCAGCUGGCUACACAAAUAUUGACACUGAGGCACGAAAGCGUGGGGAUCGAACAGG
rnacentral:rRNA from 1 species